rnacentral:lncRNA from 1 species
GUUCUGAUGCAAUUUCAUGUUGAAUUGAGUAUGCUAUAGUGAAAUGUAAAUACUCCUUUAAUAUUUAUAACAAUUCCUGUGAUUAUUCAUUGCAUUUUUGGAUGAAACUUACGUUUAACUCUGUAGAAGCAGCAUUCUCUAAUGGAGAACUAUCCCAUGGGGAAAUUUCUAGAGAGCUCAACUGAUUAUGGAAUAUUGAGCUGUAGUAAUUAAUUUCCUUGUCUUUCCCCUCAUUUGUCCUUUAGAUGUAGGAAUUCAAAGCUAAUUCAGCCACCACUUUCUUGGUGGUUCCAGUGAAUACAGCUGUUGCUGGUUUGGACAGCUGUGGAGGGGACUAAUAGCUGAAUGAUGAUCUUCUGUAUGAGCUGAUGCCCCAAGAAACAAGACUCGUUGUCCUAUGUCUGCUUAAUGAGAAAUCGUAAUCCAUCUGGUUAUAAAACCUCAGCAGAAUACCAUACAAUGUAUCUCUUGGCUAAACAUAUGUUGUUGUUCAACUUUUAAGAAGAGCUAAAGAUCAAGGAAUUAGCAUGAAAAAUGUUCUAAAUUACGUCAUGACUGAAGAUUUUGCAAAUUUUCUCCCCUCUGAAGUUUACAAAAUGAUGUUUGCUAUUGUCACUUUGGAUUCUGCUGAAAUUGCAGGAUAUGUUUUGCACCAUUGCUGCUGCAGAGAAGAGCUCUGGAAGAGCUGUGCCAUGGCAGAUGUCUGAAGGAGAGAUUCCAUAUGGGUAAUCUUCCAUCUUAGAAUAAUGGGAAAUACAAUUAACCCCUCCAAGACAUUUUAUUUCAGAUGGUGUAUCUGAAAAAUUUGUUCAGUUGAAUUCUAUAAUAAAACACAGGGAGGGAGAAACCUAAGAUUCUGA